AUAGGUUAAUGAGGCGAACCGGGGGAACUGAAACAUCUAAGUACCCCGAGGAAAAGAAAUCAACCGAGAUUCCCCCAGUAGCGGCGAGCGAACGGGGAGCAGCCCAGAGCCUGAAUCAGUGUGUGUGUUAGUGGAAGCGUCUGGAAAGGCGUGCGAUACAGGGUGACAGCCCCGUACACAAAAAUGCACAUAUUGUGAGCUCGAUGAGUAGGGCGGGACACGUGGUAUCCUGUCUGAAUAUGGGGGGACCAUCCUCCAAGGCUAAAUACUCCUGACUGACCGAUAGUGAACCAGUACCGUGAGGGAAAGGCGAAAAGAACCCCGGCGAGGGGAGUGAAAAAGAACCUGAAACCGUGUACGUACAAGCAGUGGGAGCACGCUUAGGCGUGUGACUGCGUACCUUUUGUAUAAUGGGUCAGCGACUUAUAUUCUGUAGCAAGGUUAACCGAAUAGGGGAGCCGAAGGGAAACCGAGUCUUAACUGGGCGUUAAGUUGCAGGGUAUAGACCCGAAACCCGGUGAUCUAGCCAUGGGCAGGUUGAAGGUUGGGUAACACUAACUGGAGGACCGAACCGACUAAUGUUGAAAAAUUAGCGGAUGACUUGUGGCUGGGGGUGAAAGGCCAAUCAAACCGGGAGAUAGCUGGUUCUCCCCGAAAGCUAUUUAGGUAGCGCCUCGUGAAUUCAUCUCCGGGGGUAGAGCACUGUUUCGGCAAGGGGGUCAUCCCGACUUACCAACCCGAUGCAAACUGCGAAUACCGGAGAAUGUUAUCACGGGAGACACACGGCGGGUGCUAACGUCCGUCGUGAAGAGGGAAACAACCCAGACCGCCAGCUAAGGUCCCAAAGUCAUGGUUAAGUGGGAAACGAUGUGGGAAGGCCCAGACAGCCAGGAUGUUGGCUUAGAAGCAGCCAUCAUUUAAAGAAAGCGUAAUAGCUCACUGGUCGAGUCGGCCUGCGCGGAAGAUGUAACGGGGCUAAACCAUGCAC
rnacentral:rRNA from 1 species